rnacentral:rRNA from 1 species
CAGCCGCCGCGGUAAUACCGGCGGCCCGAGUGGCGGUCACUAUUAUUGGGCUUAAAGCGUCCGUAGCCGGGUUGGGAAGUCCUCCGGGAAAUCUGGCCGCUUAACGGUCAGAAUGCCGGAGGAUACUCCCAGCCUAGGGAGCGGGAGAGGCCGAGGGGAUUCCCGGAGGAGGGGGGAAAUCCUAUAAUCCCGGGAGGACCACCUGUGGCGAAGGCGCUCGGCUGGAACGCGGCCGACGGUGAGGGACGAAGGCCAGGGGAGCAAACCGGAUUAGAUACCCGGGUAGUCCUGGCUGUAAACGAUGCGGACUUUGUGUCGGACAAGCUAUGAGCUUGUCCGGUGCCGGAGGGAAACCGUUAAGUCCGCCGCCUGGGGAGUACGGCCGCAAGGCUGAAACUUAAAGGAAUUGGCGGG